rnacentral:rRNA from 1 species
UACGUAGGGUGCGAGCGUUAACCGGAAUUACUGGGCGUAAAGCGUGCGCAGGCGGCUUUGCAAGACAGAGGUGAAAUCCCCGGGCUCAACCUGGGGACUGCCUUUGUGACUGCAAGGCUAGAGUACGGCAGAGGGAGAUGGAAUUCCGCGUGUAGCAGUGAAAUGCGUAGAUAUGCGGAGGAACACCGAUGGCGAAGGCAAUCUCCUGGGCCUGUACUGACGCUCAUGCACGAAAGCGUGGGGAGCAAACAGG